rnacentral:rRNA from 1 species
GACGAACGCUGGCGGCGUGCUUAGCACAUGCAAGUCGAACGGAAAGGCCCUGCUUUUGUGGGGUGCUCGAGUGGCGAACGGGUGAGUAACACGUGAGUAACCUGCCCUUGACUUUGGGAUAACUUCAGGAAACUGGGGCUAAUACCGGAUAGGAGCUCCUGCUGCAUGGUGGGGGUUGGAAAGUUUCGGCGGUUGGGGAUGGACUCGCGGCUUAUCAGCUUGUUGGUGGGGUAGUGGCUUACCAAGGCUUUGACGGGUAGCCGGCCUGAGAGGGUGACCGGCCACAUUGGGACUGAGAUACGGCCCAGACUCCUACGGGAGGCAGCAGUGGGGAAUAUUGCACAAUGGGCGGAAGCCUGAUGCAGCAACGCCGCGUGCGGGAUGACGGCCUUCGGGCUGUAAACCGCUUUCGCCUGUGACGAAGCGUGAGUGACGGUAAUGGGUAAAGAAGCACCGGCUAACUACGUG